AGGACGAACGCUGGCGGCGUGCCUAACACAUGCAAGUGGAGCGACGAACCAGGCUUCGGCCUGGGGCAAAGCCGCGAACGGGUGAGUAACACGUGGGCAACCUGCCCCUAGCACUGGGAUAACUCCGGGAAACCGGGCUAAUACCGGAUAUGACCUUUGAGGGCAUCCUCGAAGGUGUAAAGGAUUCUGGCUAGGGAUGGGCCCGCGGCCUAUCAGCUUGUUGGUGGGGUAACGGCCUACCAAGGCGACGACGGGUA
rnacentral:rRNA from 1 species